AAUUCUCACAUACAUACACAUAUAUAUAUAUACAUUAUAUAUAUAUAUAUACAUAUAUAUAUAUAUAUACAUAUACCUUUGUUUUGACUUGCCUUUUUCUCCUCAACGUUGUAAAUACUAUUUAUUUUAAUAAUGGCUUUCAUGAUUUAUUUAGCAUUUCCACAUCCUCAAGACUAAGUGACUUAGAUUCUGCAGCUAAAGUGAAACCUAUUUGACAAGUACAUUUGGAUUAACACAUAUUUAUGGUCACUAGAUUGUUUUACAUCAUGGAUGCUUCUGUAAAUCAAACUUUUCUCAACAUUGAGUCAGUAUUGUUAUGAUUACCAUCCUUACUAAACUUUAUCAAGAUCUUUUGAAAUGAGUUUCUUUCCAAGUCUCCGGAAGAAACUUUCUAUUUUAUUUAUUAACAACAAAAAAAGAUCAGUUUUAAAACCUUCAGCCUCAAGUAAUUCUGUUUCGGAUAUCUACUGCAACUGUUGUGAAGAAAAGUUAAACACAUCUGCUCAGAAAAUUCUUCGUUUGUAUCAAAUUCCAUUAUUGAAUUCUUAGUUUCAUUUUGAUAUUCUUAGAUUCUUGAUAACCAAGUUUGGCUUAUUGAUUUUCUAACAUUUUUUUUUGUCCCUAACUGUAAUGUUUAUUUAUUAAGCCACAUUAAUUGCAAUUUAAAACUUCUUUUAUUUAUUAAUAUUUUCCAAAAUUAUAUUCAUAAACCUAUUCCAUUUCGAAAGAAUUGCAGACUUGCUCCCAUCUUUUUUUAUCAAAUUAAGGAACUAAAUUAUUGUUUGUAAUAUAGUAAAUAAAACUAAAUACCAAAUAAUGGAAAUACAAACUGCUGACAAACAGCAAGCACAGGCUCAAUUUACAUGGGAGGCUUGCAACACUGCAUUUGCCUACCCAACAAUAUUACAGGAAGCUGUUACCACAGCAACCACCACAGCUGGAUCAGCAGGAACAACAAUUGCUACAAUUGCAGUUUCAUCUGCAGCAGCAGUUAACAACAAUGUAAUAUCACCAACUGAUGAUACUGAAAAUGUAGCUUCAACUGAUAACGAACAACAACAACAGCAACAGCAGCAGCAGCAACAACAACAACAACAGCAACAACAACAGCAGCAGCAACAACAUCGACCAUUUGAAUGUGAAUAUUGCCAAAAAACUUUUUCCAAGAAUUCCAACCUAACUUCUCACCGGCGAUUGCAUACUGGAGAAAGACCUUUUGUUUGUGAUUUUUGCAAAAAAACAUUUGCAAAAUCGUGGAACCUAACUUCCCAUCGUCGCAUUCACACAGGUGAGCGCCCUUACCACUGCGAAACAUGUCACAAGGCCUUUGCCAAGUCUUGGAAUCUUACUAAUCAUAGACGGACGCACACAGGUGAGAGGCCGUAUGGCUGCAAGUACUGUGCCAAAUCCUUUUCUCAUUCCUCCAACUUGACCUCACACAUCAGGUCACACACUGGAGACAAACCUUUUUCCUGCCACAUCUGUAAGAAAAAGUUUACAUUUGCGUCUCAACUAGGCCAGCACUUUCGCAGUCACAGUGACAACCGACCUUAUACCUGCGAGACAUGUCACAAGGCUUUUGCUGAUCAAGGAGUACUUGCCAAACAUCGGAAGAAACAUGCCAACACAAGUGUUACAACCACAGUUAACAUGUCUGAUGGUUCCAUCACCACUACAGAUGCUACCCAGCUGCAACUUCUGUGCAUAUGUGAGUUCUGUAAGAAGACGUUUGUUGAUGCUGCAUCGCUGUUGGUACACAAAAGCCAGAAACACAGCAAUGUUGAGAAAGCUUACCAAUGCCAGUAUUGCACAGAAACUUUCAACAACGCCAACAGCCUCAAUUGGCACUUGCGUAACCAUACUACACUUGUCACCACUACUAACAGUACACCUACCCUUGUAACAGCUGGUGACAGCAAUAAAGUAGCAGUCGCAGUUGCAGCAGCAGCAGCUGCAGCUGCAGGUGGUGCAAACAGUUCUGGCAACCCUGUAGCUGCCAUAGCUGCCUUCAGCUGUGAGUAUUGCCGUAAGACAUUCACUCGCUCAGACAGUCUUACUGUUCACAUUCGAACUCAUAGCACAGGAAAUGGAGCUGAAAUACCAACGAUUAGCUGUGACGUGUGCAAUAAAACACUGCUAAACCAGAGCAACAAUGCCAGACCAACCUCAACAACUACAAUCCUUAACUGUCAAAGCCAGGCAGUUCCAGAUGUGAAACCUAUCAUCAGAGUUGUGGAUCAAGAAGAAAAGCCCUCAAUUGAGUAUAUGCCAGCUAUCGAAAGAAAAGUCGAGAUUGUUGAACAAGCCAAUAGCUAUGAUGGCCACAGCCAAGAUGGUAUGUCCAUGGAGCAAAACAUACAUGCUUACGCAACUGCCAUUGAGCAACAACACCAACAACAGCAAGUGACCCAAGUGGUCACCUUUGAAAAUAGCAAUGCCAUUUUUACUCAUACUGAUUUACAGGUCCAUUUCCCUCAAAAUCAUGCGACAACACAAACCUCAUCAGACCAAACAGUCAUAUCUCAGGAAGACAUUUGCUUCAAGGCAUGAGUUCUGAUUCAAAAAUACUUCCCUUCUCACUACUGCCCAUUUUUUAAAAAGCACACACACACAUACAUACACACAUGUGCACACACACACACAUGCACAC
rnacentral:misc_RNA from 1 species